GUGAACACUAAUUAUUAUGUGAAGUAUAAUUUAUGACAUGUAAGGACAGACUGUUUGCACUCGUGUAAUUAAAAUAUAUGCUGUUGAAUACUCAGAUGUGCGACCAGAUGUGAAGAAGCCUGAAGUAUCACCUUCUUUACUCAUCAGUGGGUGAAUGUCUGUUGUGGGAGAGGAAGAAGCAGAGAUGGAGACUGCGGUGGAGACGUUCAGAAUGUGAGAUAAUUUCCCAGCUCCUCCGUCAGCAGUUCCCUCAGUUCCCCUCGGCUGAGUGUGUACUUGUCUCCUUCCUUCCCGGAAUACUUGUGGAAGGUCUUGAUGAGCAUCUGCAUCGCGCUUUCCAAAUUGGAGCUUGGUUCUUUGGACAUGCUGUGAAGUGGUCAACAAAGGUUCAGCAAGCUACUGCAUAUGUAUGGAAACAAACACUGUGAUUGAUAAUGUGCAACACAAGAAGAGAAAUACUUUUGAACAGAUUUGGCAAAUAAGUAGUCAGCACAAACCGCUGGAGGCCUAAUCAAUGCAAGGGUGAGGUUUUCCUUUGUGCAAAGCCUUUUUGACUUUCUGGACACCAGUUUUACACAUUUAGUCAAAACAUAAUUUUAUGUCAAAGAUAUUAAAAACGUAUCUUUUCUUUUGCAAAUCUUUUCUUACUCUUACUUUGCUUUUCCUGGACACCAGUUUUAUAGUCAAUUAUUAUGUCAAACACACAGGGUGGUUACUUUAUAUAGGUUACUUUAAAUUUGGCACUUAAUCACCCUGAUCCAACUGAUGAUUAUAUACAUUUUUAGUGUUAUACAACUCUAGUUUUCUGGCUUUCAAUGAUUCAGACAGCUGAUUAGUUGCUUGUGAAAUUUUCCCUGCUCACAACCAAAUCAUCUACUACAUGUUACUCAUGUAACAGGGAUCUCAUGAGCAACAGCCGCAUCUCUCAAAUUGAAACCGCAAGUGAAACAUAAAACUGUCAAAAUGAAGAUAAACUAUGGGCAAGUUCCCCAGGGAAACUUUGGCAAAGUAAUCCGAAGCUUCCUUGAAGACAC